GACUCUCGGCAACGGAUAUCUCGGCUCUCGCAUCGAUGAAGAACGUAGCGAAAUGCGAUACUUGGUGUGAAUUGCAGAAUCCCGUGAACCAUCGAGUCUUUGAACGCAAGUUGCGCCCGAAGCCGUUAGGCGAGGGCACGUCUGCCUGGGCGUCA
rfam:Ipomoea nil DNA, scaffold: scaffold0692, cultivar: Tokyo-kokei standard.